ACCAAAACGUGCACCCCUUUGGGGUCCUGGGGACUGAAUUUGGGAAACCUUGCAUAAGACCCUUAUUUUUAGAAAAACUAAAACGUUCUAUUCAUCAGGCAGAUAAGCCUCAUGACCAUCUGAAGAACUGACCUGUGCCAUUCUGGAGUGUGUGUGUGUGUGUACAGGUCAUUGUCAGAUGGAUGGCUGGAUUGAUAGAUCCUGUUUGUCUGCCUUCCAGUGCAUACAUGGGCAGAUGGAUAGUGUCUGGAGACCGUUGCUGGGUGUUAAGAAGACCAGGACCAGCUCCUAUCAUUUGCAGUGUGAUGGAAUGGUGGAACGAUUUAAUUGAACACUCCGCGAUCAGCUGGCUAAGACACAGCUCCAAUAGCCUGAAUCGCUCAUCUCCACCUCUGCCUCCAGAGUAGAGGGCACUGCAUGGGGCUCACUGGAGCAGAGUAUCUGUCUCCCUGCCCGAGCGUAGCGACCACAACUCCCCAGCAGGCCGAAGCACAGCGUGUCGCCUGCAGGCACCCGUGGGGCGGACAUGUUGGAGAACACAGGCAGGAAGUGGAAGGAGACAAAGUUGGGAGCCUGGGAGUAGGCCUUGUCCCCCACCACUCAUGGGUGCAGCUUGCUAGAUGUCCACAAGGUGACUCCUUUUGUUUGGAUUCCUCCAGACAAGAGACUAGACUACACCCAUAUCCACUACACCCAUGGCUCUGAAUUCUCCUGUCUUGGCUCUGCUUUUGGAAGAUUUGAAGUAGUCACAAAAACUUGUCUGGGCAUUUUGUAAUUAGAGGACCAUGUCAUAAUAUGAUUUAGAGACUGCUUACAUUAUUGUGAAUAGUUGCUAUCAUAUUUUGAUUUUACAAUGAGACACAACAGCUCUAGCCAAGUACCUCAACUCCUCCGGAGUUGUUUGCAGACUAGAGUUUUUUAAAAUUAUCUUCGGACUCCUUCAAGUCACUAUGGACAGAGGACCUAUGUUUGUCCUCUGCAUGCCUUUUUUUGUUUGCU